rnacentral:rRNA from 1 species
CCGGUAUGCAGGGGGGACAACAGUCAGAAAUGACUGCUAAUACCGCAUAAGCACACAAUGCUGCAUGGCAUGGUGUGAAAAGAUUUAUCGGCAUACGAUGGCCCCGCGUCUGAUUAGCCAGUUGGCAGGGUAAUGGCCUACCAAAGCAACGAUCAGUAGCCGGCUUGAGAGAGUGACCGGCCACACUGGGACUGAGACACGGCCCAGACUCCUACGGGAGGCAGCAG